rnacentral:rRNA from 1 species
UACAGAGGUCUCAAGCGUUGUUCGGAUUCAUUGGGCGUAAAGGGUGCGUAGGUGGCGCGGUAAGUCGGGUGUGAAAUUUCGAGGCUCAACCUCGAAACGCCACUCGAUACUGCUGUGACUGGAGUCCGGUAGAGGAGUGCGGAAUUCCUGGUGUAGCGGUGAAAUGCGCAGAUAUCAGGAGGAACACCAACGGCGAAGGCAGCACUCUGGGCCGGUACUGACGCUGAGGAGCGAAAGCGUGGGGAGCAAACAGG